UGGAAGACUUGUGAUUUUGUUGUUGUUAGUUAGAUGAAGUGACAACAAAUCACGGUCUGCCCUA
ensembl:miRNA ipu-mir-7b ipu-mir-7b